rnacentral:tRNA from 1 species
GCGGGAAUAGCUCAGUGGUAGAGCAUGAGCUUAGUGUGCACAAGGUCCAGGGUUCAAUCCCCAGCACCUCCA